AAUGAACGUUGGCGGCGUGGAUUAGGCAUGCAAGUCGAGCGCGAACCCCGCAAGGGGUGAAAGCGGCGAAAGGGAGAGUAACGCGUGGGUAUCUACCCUCGGGACUGGGAUAGCUGCGGGAAACUGCAGGUAAUACCAGAUGACGUCCCCGGACCAAAGGUGUGAUUCCGCCUGAGGAUGAGCCCGCGUCCUAUUAGCUAGUUGGUGGGGUAAUGGCCUACCAAGGCAAUGAUGGGUACUGGGUGUGAGAGCACGACCCAGCUCACUGGGACUGAGACACGGGCCAGACGCCUACGGGGUGCUGCAGUCGAGAAUCUUCGGCAAUGGGCGAAAGCCUGACCGAGCGACGCCGCGUGUGGGAUGAAGGCCUUCGGGUUGUAAACCGCUGUCAGAGGGGAGGAAUGGGCGGAGGGUAAUCUCUUCGUUUUGACCUAUCCUCAGAGGAAGUACGGGCUAAGUUCGUGCCAGCAGCCGCAGUAACAC
rnacentral:rRNA from 1 species